GGGGGGGCUAGGUCUAGCAGCUAGACAGCUGACGGUCAAGGAGGGGGGGCUAGGUCUAGCAGCUAGACAGCUGACGGUCAAGGAGGGGGGGCUAGGUCUAGCAGCUAGACAGCUGACGGUCAAGGGGGGGGCUAGGUCUAGCAGCUAGAC